rnacentral:rRNA from 1 species
CCUACGGGAGGCAGCAGUGGGGAAUAUUGCGCAAUGGGCGAAAGCCUGACGCAGCGACGCCGCGUGAGGGAUGAAGGUCUUCGGAUUGUAAACCUCUUUCAGCAGGGACGAAGCGAAAGUGACGGUACCUGAAGAAGAAGCACCGGCUAACUACGUGCCAGCAGCCGCGGUAAUACGUAGGGUGCAAGCGUUGUCCGGAUUUAUUGGGCGUAAAGAGCUCGUAGGCGGUUAGACACGUCGGAUGUGAAAACUGGGGGCUCAACCCCCAGCCUGCAUUCGAUACGGUCUGACUAGAGUGUGGUAGGGGUAACUGGAAUUCCUGGUGUAGCGGUGAAAUGCGCAGAUAUCAGGAGGAACACCGAUGGCGAAGGCAGGUUACUGGGCCACCACUGACGCUGAGGAGCGAAAGCGUGGGGAGCAAACAGGAUUAGAUACCCUGGUAGUCCACGCCGUAAACGGUGGGCGCUAGAUGUGGGGACCAUUCCAUGGUUUCUGCGUCGCAGCUAACGCAUUAAGCGCCCCGCCUGGGGAGUACGGUCGCAAGCUAAAACUCAAAUUGAAUUGACGGCUGNGNGNGCGAGCGACGACGAGGAGAGG